AGAGUUUGAUCCUGGCUCAGAUCGAACGCUGGCGGCAUGCCUUACACAUGCAAGUCGAACGGUAACGCGGGGCAACCUGGCGACGAGUGGCGAACGGGUGAGUAAUACAUCGGAACGUGCCCAGUAGUGGGGGAUAGCCCGGCGAAAGCCGGAUUAAUACCGCAUACGACCUACGGGUGAAAGCGGGGGACCGCAAGGCCUCGCGCUAUUGGAGCGGCCGAUGUCAGAUUAGGUAGUUGGUGGGGUAAAGGCCUACCAAGCCUGCGAUCUGUAGCUGGUCUGAGAGGACGACCAGCCACACUGGGACUGAGACACGGCCCAGACUCCUACGGGAGGCAGCAGUGGGGAAUUUUGGACAAUGGGCGCAAGCCUGAUCCAGCCAUGCCGCGUGCGGGAAGAAGGCCUUCGGGUUGUAAACCGCUUUUGUCAGGGAAGAAAUCCUUUGGGCUAAUACCCUGAAGGGAUGACGGUACCUGAAGAAUAAGCACCGGCUAACUACGUGCCAGCAGCCGCGGUAAUACGUAGGGUGCAAGCGUUAAUCGGAAUUACUGGGCGUAAAGCGUGCGCAGGCGGUUGUGCAAGACAGGUGUGAAAUCCCCGGG
rnacentral:rRNA from 1 species